AUUGAACGCUGGCGGAAUGCUUUACACAUGCAAGUCGAACGGCAGCACGGGUGCCUGCACCUGGUGGCGAGUGGCGAACGGGUGAGUAAUGUAUCGGAACGUAUCCAAUAAUGGGGGAUAACUAAUCGAAAGGUUGGCUAAUACCGCAUACGCCCUACGGGGGAAAGCAGGGGAUCUUCGGACCUUGCGUUAAUGGAGCGGCCGAUAUCUGAUUAGCUAGUUGGUGAGGUAAAGGCUCACCAAGGCAAUGAUCAGCAGCUGGUCUGAGAGGACGAUCAGCCACACUGGGACUGAGACACGGCCCAGACUCCUACGGGAGGCAGCAGUGGGGAAUUUUGGACAAUGGGGGCAACCCUGAUCCAGCAAUGCCGCGUGAGUGAAGAAGGCCUUCGGGUUGUAAAGCUCUUUUGUCAGGGAAGAAACAGCAGCUCCAACACAGUCUGCGAAUGACGGUACCUGAAGAAUAAGCACCGGCUAACUACGUGCCAGCCGCCGCAGUAAUAC
rnacentral:rRNA from 1 species